UCAAGUUCGGAGUAUUCAUCUCGUGUGUUCAAAUUAACACAGAAAGGGAUAUUUUGUGGAUUAUAUAAAAUGGAUGUUAAGUGAAAUUAUUAGAUGUUAUCACUGUCGCAGUGUCAAUCUUUUGUUUAACUGUGUCCUUCAGUGUUUGUUUGUCAAUGACUGAUACGGUCUUGGUCCUGAUACAAUUCGGACUGGAUCCGGGGUUGUCCGGUCGAAGGUCUUACCCUUCUUGCUGGCUUAGAAGACAUGCGGCGAACCCCACCCAUCGCAUGGGUUAAACAGGAUGAUAAAGGUGCUGUGGCUAGCCAUAGUUGGAAUGGCAUAUUUGCAGUCACGUGAUCGAAGGCCCGGAGAAGAGGACCCUCGACUUCCGGUUGUGACAACGGAAGUGAAUAGUGAACCGGAAUACAGCAAACAGUUAAGUGCCAUAAACAAGGAAAACACACGGACUUUCACACACAUAGGCAAUUGUAGGCGAAUGUGUGCGUUCUGUAAGACUCGUAUGGAGCGAAGACAUGGCAUGCUUUGCCGCAGACAUUGUGAACGAGGUAGUGGCAAGGCAUAUGAGGUAUGUGAUCACGUGUGGGGAUUAUACCAUACGCGAGGGACAAACAGUAACAAUGAGGUAAAACUAAAAAACAAUAGUAAUAAAAACAGAGACAGGGACAAGGACAAGGAGAAGCAGACCACUAUUAAAACAAAUGAUAGCAAAAAUAUUUAUACUAUAACAAAUAGGCCCAAUAACAAUAAUAGAGAUAGAUGGCGGCAAAGAUACCGGUAUAGGAAUCGAGGUAGAAAUGGUUUAAAGAAUCGAAACAGGGCACGGAAUCGUCAUGGAGGAUCUCGGAACUCGAGCAAUGGCCGUCAAAACGGCAAUGGCCGCAGUGAAAACAACGGAAGGAGCAGACAUAAGUGGUGACGUCAGAACAUUUAACACAUGUGAUUGGAUACUAAACUUAUGUCUGUUGUGAGUGAAUAAUCAAAACGCCUGUACAUGUCUGGAGUACGCAUAAUGUGAACGCCGUUGUGUUGUUUAUGCUUGGAAGAAUAGGUCGUCUUCUGUUUCAAGAGGUCGUGAGCUUGACCUUGACCUUCGGAAUGUAUGUUGACCUUGGUGCGGCACCGUGAUACAUACAAAAACUUGCUGACAGGAUGGAUACGUUAUGAAGCUGUGGAACUCGAGGUGGUUUGAGGGGUAAUCACGUGGUAUACCCAGGAUGCAACAUGAAGACAUCAAGCACCGCCGUAGGUGUGGCGCCAUGUGUUCCUGCGGACACCCGGAGCAUCAAGUACCACGUGACAGAGUAGCAAGCGGUACAUCAUGACUGAUACGGUUAUCGUGCCAUCAUGAUCGUGUGUGAUGUGAUAGCCCGGGUGAUAUGAAUAAACCCGUGUUUUAACUCAAGGGCUCAGUGUGACAUCAUCAAAACCACUAUGACAUCACUUAGUACUGUGUGUGACAUCACUUAGUACUGUGUGUGACAUCACUGAAAUGUGCGGGGUGAAUUAUUCAAGUUGAGAAUUUCUGUGAUCACCUUCCUUUCGAGUUCAGAGUUCAAUAUGGUUAUUGACUAAGUAAGAUAAAUCUACCCAACCUAAUAUCUGCUGAUUUUGAAAGGAUGUUAAAUUUAAAAUACUAAGUAUUGUGCAAUUGUUAUAUUUGUGUUCGUGUCGUUGUGAUCUCCGUACGGCACCCAAUCACCCUUCUAGAGAGUGUCGAGAUAUUCUCAAUAAAAUAGUAUAUUCCUAAGAUAGAAUCUCAUGGCCCGUUUCAAAAUUAGUUGAAUAUUCCUCGGUUUUAAAACAAGAAAAAAACGCCCUCUUUCAAUAUGUUAUUCUUAAGUGCCUUUUUCGAUGAAACAUGGCACUCUUUUGAAAUGUGGCUAACCAGUAGCCGAAAUCCAAAAACACACUGUUUAUUUAUUAGCUUCGGAAACCUAGCAACUGAUAUGCAUUUCAAUCAUCAGUAUUUAACCAGAACAUAACCCUGGCAUGCCUAACUGUCUACAAGUUUAAAUUAUGGGCUGUGAUUUGCCUACUUUUCAUGCCGCAAAAUGGCAAAGUGUAGCUCUUAACGCGAAAAUGAAGUGACAUCGAGUAGUUAAAAGACAACUAUUUUUUCUUCACCCGCAAGACCAAAAAUCCUAGUUGACUUGCACACGGCCUAGUUGACUUGCACACGGCCUAGUUGACUUGCACACGACCUAGUUGACUUGCACACGGCCAGAGUUCCUGUGAUUGAAAUGCGUAUCUGUGGCAGCGGUUCCAUAUCAUUUUCUUGUUCCGUCCUCUACGCGAUAGAGCUGUCCCGCUCUAGCCAUAAUGACCAGCUUCAUCUUAAGUUAAUACCGAAAACUCGAAAAGAUUAUGAACCUGGCUAGAAUCCUCUUGAACACUUCUUGAACACAUAACCAGAGCCAACGAGAGAUGUGUAAGAAAAGCAUGCUUCAUUCGCCUCUUUCCAGAUGACCGCCGCUUGCUGUGCAGUGGCCAAACUUCACAGAGGUACGGGGUCUGGCGUCACGUCCGACGUAAGUGUUGAAAACAUCGAAGGCUUAACCCAUCAGGCGGUCAUUUUGUUGCCUCACGAGCGAUCGAGCUUGAUUCAUCGCUUGAGGCCAUGGUCAGGAAAGAGGCGAAUUGUAUAACAUGACGUUGGGAUGCAUUUUUGGAAAGGAAAGCAAGGGGGCACGGCCAGGUCAAGAAAAGUAAGCGGACAUGGCAAAUUUUGCUGAACUCGGGCCAGUUAUCGAACUCAGUAUGGUUUGUACCCCUGGAUUUAGAUUGUUAACAUCUACUGCACCACCAAAACAUUGGAGUCCAAACGAAUCAACAUCACCGCAAUGAAAAAAAAACUCGACAAGAGUCGUCGAACUAUAUCAUUCGGCUAACAACACUAUCAGUUGAAAGGGAAAAUCGUGAACAUUUCAGACAGCAUCCGCCAUCUUUCCUUGGCUUGUGACUGCAACACAACAAAACUACUACCAGAAGCAAGGUCGAGAAUGCGAAGUCCCCAUAACAAACAUAUCGUUGAAAUCAUUUAAAUCCAGACUUAUUUGUCAAUAUUCCAAUGUUGUCCACUAGAAAAGGAACGUUCAACGUUCAUUCAUAUCAGAUAUCGAACAGCCCACUGAGAAGGGGAACUUUCAACUUUCAUGUAAGUUGUGGUCGACCUGCCAGUUGGAUAAGGGGAUUUUCUAAGUUCAUGUGAAGCGGUGCAUCUCCUCAGCAACUGUUACUGAAGGCGAAACUUGGAGAUUGGGUAGAUCCUUCUGCCAUGGCAUGGACAUGAUUGAUGCUACAGCCGGGUUUGAACUAAUUCCACGCAACAGAUUUAGAUUGUAUCAUACUAUUGGAGUUGUAUAUUUAUUAUUUAUUCGACAGUUGCUCUUGUCUAUCAAACUUCUUGGAAAAUAACUGCCAUAUUCCAACCGGAAAUACAUAACAUCCGAAUACGGGUCAAUCUGACCACAAAACAUUAACUUCCGGUUCCUCUGUGUAUAAACACAAGCUUGGAUGGCCAUAUCAAAUCCGUUGAAAACAUGAAAAUAAACAACUGCAUUUGGAGCAGUGAUUUCAAUGUUGUUGGUGAUGUGACUAGUUAAGAGCUUGCAUGAUUUGUAACGGAGAAAUCGUUUCACGACAGACGAAGACAGCAAAAAGCCUGGCAGAAGAACGCAGAUGUAUAUUGGGUGUUAUGUAUUUCUGCGUCUUGUACAUAGAUAACGACUACGGGAAAUGUCUAGUCCUACGUAUUUAAAGGAAUCGCCAAAAGGUGGCACUUCUGUAUAUAAACUGUAUAACUGUAUAUCGCAAUGUAUAUUAAUUGACACCACUAAUAAAGGGGCCGCCAUUAGUAGGUCCCCAGACGAAACCAGUCCAAAUAUGGUCAGUAUGUGAAUGAUUGAUUUAUGUUUAAUAUUUGUCACGAAUGUGAAAUAGGAGGAAUUAAUUACUGAUUUUAUGACGCAAUCAACGAUUCACUCGGCUAUCGUGUAGUUGUAUGGUGCUAUGUUUCACCUACGACACCAUCUGGAAUUGAUAACCAACUAAUUUAAGGUGCAUGACCAGUGACACCCUUUCAUUUACAUCCGUAUUGUCAGGUUUAACAUUGACUGUCUGUAAGCAGUAUAUACUGUUGUUACUCAGUGCUUUGGUCCUUUAACAGACCACAUGCCCGACAGGCGAUGGCCCGCUAGAUGGCGUUGUAAUUGUUGCUACCCGUGUUAUUUCACUAGCCACAUAUAUUUCCCUCUAAGUAUUUGUGAUGAUGCUAUUAACUUACGUCAGUGAACUUAGAUUUUUAUUGUACUAGUAAAACAGGUUAGCGUCUAUAUGGGUGCCACCUAACGACCAGAAAAAAAGUUAGUAGAUGAUCGUGAAAAUGUAUCGGAAAUAUCCCGUAAACCAAUGGAGGUGUUAAGUGGGUUGCUAAAAGACUUGAAUUAGCAAUGGUGUGAGACAGAUAAAAUGGGCAUUAUUUCGCUGAUCUCAAUCCAAUGUUGAAUUCAAAGUCUAUGUGUUUGUGCUGUGUACGAUGCGAUGCUGCGUACCUACGUACAUAGCGUGAGGAUCAAUUUGGACCUAAUCUAAUAUUAAUAUUAGGUUUCUUAUAACACGAUGAAACUCAAUCUAAUAACUAAAUUCGAAUUUACUGGAUAUUGUUUGCAAUUCCACCAUUGUCAAGAAAUGCUUCUUCAGGAAUGACGCUGUUCACGUCCAAUCUCACAACUCCACGUCCGAUCUCGCAACUUCUUCUCACGUGAAGUUGCGAGAUUGGAUGGGAGCAAAGUCAGCCCUGAAGAAGCCAUUAAGGACAAUUCGAAUCCAGUGAUCUGAUUGAACCCAUUGUGCUAUUGCAAACAGCCCAGAUGAUUGAAAGCAUACAACAGUAUAGUCGUAUGUUGGCGCCUCAAACAUAUAAUCAGUGUUUCCUCCUAUAUUCAACCAUGCAAACGACUCGAUGCUGAGGCGAUUCCAUCUCAGUUGUUGUUUUUGUGACGUAAAUGUACAGUAUAACAAAGCCAGUGUAGAAAAUCUAAAAAAAGGGGUUCUUGGACGGAGAGCAUUCUAUCCAGGCGUCUAUCUACUGCAAAUUUGUCAGAAUCACGUGGCCAAAGAGUCCCCUGUUAACAAUGAGCAAAUUGAAACCCAAACAAAGUCUUCUUUCCGAGACUCGUUCGAUAGGGUAUUUCACUCGCGUGACUUUGAGUCUGACCAAUUAUUGCGUCACUGUGUUUUAAAAUUAAACUCUAGAAUUGCGUCAGUUUGAAUGUAAACAAAGGUGCUGUAAACAUGGAUGACCUUCAUUCCAUGAUUUGAGAAUAUAAUGAAUGAUUAUUUUGUAAUAUAACCAGUUUUGAUUCUUAGCAUUUGUUGUAAAGUCCCUUAAUCUGUACUUAUUAAUGGAUCUAGAAGCUUCAUUUUGGUCUUGUCUCGUGAGCAAUAAACACGAUCGUGCAGACUUGCAACAAUUUAGAAUAAAGCGAAUGAGUUUGAAGGUGGUCGACUAUGACCACUUUUAAGUAUGAACGAUUUUAAAAUGGAGACGAAACACCACACGAGUCACAUUACCAGUAUCUAUAGGAUUAUCGUCGAUGCUGCAAUUCGUUGAGCCUUAAAACUUCUUCCAGUUACAAUAGCCAUUGAAACAGUAAGGCACAGCCACCGUGCUUGGGAAAUUUACCAAUUCAGAAAUGGUGAUAUGUAUUUCAUCACCAUAUGUAUAUGUACCAGGUAAUAGUGGGAUGAGAGUGAACUGAAUCUCUAAGACUGAUGCCGUGAAUACAUGUAUCAGUUGAUGACUUUGACGCCAUUCCUUGCACACGCUGCCUGGUUCGUAGAUUUAGUUAGACAAUCUUCCGCCAGAUGCCUCUCUGUCAUUUACAGUCGGCCAUCUGGUGGCGAGUUUGUAAGUUAAUGACGAGGGCGAUGUCCUGAUGACUGGUGUUAUCCAUUUGUAUCAUGUUCAUAACUAACAUACACCAACGUAUUAUACAAAGAAUGAAGAUGAGUGCAAGGACCGAAGGUCAACUUCUUGAUUAGGUUUAUAUCACGAAGAUUGUAACUGACCAUUUUGUGGUUUAAUUUUGAAUGUUAGUUCAGUUCUUUCGAACGCCAACCGAUGAUAAAAGUUUGUUGAAUGAAAUUAUAAUCACAUACUUUGAUAUUUGAAGGAGUCAUAAUCAAGACUGUUCGAGAAUAUAUCUAACAUUGUCCAAACUACUGAAUAAACUCGUAUGUGAGCGUAUCUAACUAGUAAUUGGUUAAUACUUGUUUGUCAUUGGAUGGGUGAAUAGCCGGAAUGAUGCUGGACAUGUUAGUGGCCACUGAACAAAAAAGAAAAGUAAAGUGGACAACAAAACGUCAAGUAUUUCACAUUGAAUCCGCGAAAUCAAGACUUUUUCGAACUUUUUUGCUUUCUCUAUUACAUGUACUGUCAUUUUGAGUUUUUACAAAACUAACAAAAGACUUGGAAGAAAAUGCCAAUGAUAGAUUGGGAUUUUGUUAUAUAGCUUUUGAAUUCAAUUGUUGGUUGUUGAAUAUUAUAUCUCUUUGGUAAUUGUCAAUAAAUGAUAUCUUUAAAUUCCCAUUUCGAAUUUUACGGCAGAUGAGAUAAUCAUCUUUCCCUAUCUUCUCUGAAUUCUAAAUAAAAGCAUAUGCACAAGUCUUCUUCCGGCGUUCAGGCCACCAUUACUGUUGAUAUGACGUCAUAUUUAGAGGUCACGUGUCCCUAACCAAUGGAUUUCAACCCACUAAUUCGAUAUUAAGUGAUAGCUAAUACAUGUAUUGCUAACUAUAUUUAUAAGUUCCCCUCUUCGUGUAUAAAUUAUGCUUUGAGGCCACCAGCCCAAUCUGUAGAUAACAAGGGUGAUCUUUAAAUUUUUCCGGUUUCAAAAUAAAUCGUAUAAUAUUUUUCAGUA